CGCUCUCUGUGAUAAGUUAUUGAAAAUGUAUAGAGAGUCGGGCCUGCCCAGUGACAUUUCAUGUUAAACGGCCGCGGUACCCUGACCGUGCAAAGGUAGCAUAAUCAUUUGCCUUUUGAUUGAGGGCUAGUAUGAAUGGCUUGACGAGAGCUGGACUGUCUCUUUUUAAAUUUAUAAAAAUUAGCUUCUAAGUGAAGAGACUUAGAUUUAACUGAGUGACGAAAAGACCCUAUUGAGCUUCAGUGAAUCGAUAAAGAUAAUGUUAUUUUUGAUUUUAAUACAUUAAGGUGUAUUUAUAAUUUAUUGAAAAUCUUUAGUUGGGGCGACUGAGGAAUAAAUAAAGCUUCCUUUUAUAUAUUUUGAUAAAGUGUGGUAAGCAAACUAAUUUGAUUAGAUCCAACACAUGUUGAUUAAAGGAAAAAGUUACCAUAGGGAUAACAGCGUGAUCUUUCCGGAGAGUUCUUAUUGAAGGAAAGGUUUACGACCUCGAUGUUGGACUAAGAUAUCCUAGGGGUGUAGAAGCUUCUAAUGGUUAGUCUGUUCGACUAUUAAAAUCUU
rnacentral:rRNA from 1 species